rnacentral:RNase_P_RNA from 1 species
GAAGCUGGUCGGGUAGCCGCUCCAGCACGCUCUUUGAGCUGGGGAGGAAAGUCCGAACUCCGCAGGGCAGGGUGCUCCGUAAUACGGAGUCGCCGUGAGGCGGGGAAAGUGCCACAGAAACAAUACCGCCCCUAUUAGGGGGUAAGGGUGAAAUGGUGCGUCCUGCAAUUAAGCGGGAUAUCCCACAAAAAGUGGGAGAGUAAGAGCGCACCGUCCCAACUGCGAAGUUGGGAGCAGGGCAAACCCCACCCGGAGCAAGACCAAGUAGGGAAGAGGGAUUGCCCGUCCCGUUUGAUUCCCGGGUAGGUCGCUUAAUCCCGGCCGAAAGGUCGAGGGUAGAUAAAUGGCUACCAUCCCGACAGCAUAUUGUCGGGAUACAGAAUUCGGCUUAUAGACCAGCUUCAGAU